rnacentral:misc_RNA from 1 species
GUACACCGCAGCAACACCUUCUUUUACCGAAAAACACUGUAAAUUAUACAAUUUACCGAGCAACGCGUCAGCCCACGCCCCCCUCCCCCCCGAAGCUGCAGGAAAUAUUACCCAGGGCUGACUGCCGAUGACAAGAUAUGGUUACUCGAUAAUGUUAUGAAUCACAGCUGGUCUCUGGAAUAUAGGCGGAGCUGCCGGGCGGAGGAGUGACUUGUAUAUAGUGAUAUCGGACGACAUGCUUGCGGCCUUUGGAUUUUAUCUGCGCAUAUUUGCAAGGCAAAGUCAAGCCGGAGGCGCAAUUACACCUGACAAGAAAUAGGGAAGAGUCGAAGUGCCGUGACGUAAGGUAAUCGCGGUUGCGGCCGACCUUCCCAGCUGAUUAAAAUUACGCUUGAAAUGGCGACGGGUCAAUAAUCGGAAAGCAAAGAAUUGGAAACGGAACGACGCCAAGGCCGAUGCCAACUUUUGUCGUCUACGAAGUGAAAUAAGCGCCAAGUGUUGAUCUUAUUCAAGAGAUCAGUCGAAACUGCGAUGAUGGGUUGUUCGAUCGCCGUGCGAUAAGAGCGUCGAAGUGCUUCCGGCUUUGAUUAAGGGAAGAAGCGCAAGCAAAACGAAAGGCAAGUUAACGGGACGACGAGAUGCGGAUCUACAGGGCGAAACUUGGGCGUUGAACGAAUAGAGCGGCCAGGAAGCGGCUGGUGCCCAGUGGGCUGUGCGAAGCCGAUUUGACACAAAAUGGCUUCUGGGGAUAAUGUGGAUGUGAUUGAGGUUGUUGAAUCGAGUUUCACAUCCCCGGAUUUGGAGAUGGUGGACCGGGUAGGACGCGGCUUCGCCAUGGAAGAUGAAGAUAAGUCCACCGGGGAGAAAGUUACAGCCUUGGAAGUACCCACAACGCAUCAUGGCUCUGGUGGUCCCAAAACUUCGUCGGGUAUAUCCCGAAACAAAUCGGAAAGGGAAAGAAAAAUUGGCCAUCGGAGAGUCGGAGUGGGAGGUGAAAUCACAUAUAAAAAGAUUCAAACGACACAAAUCAUGGGAUCCAUUCAACUAGGGAUCCAGCACGCUGUUGGGGGUCUUGCUAGUAAACCAGAGCGAGAUCUUCUUAUGCAGGAUUUUAUGACAGUGGAAACGACCAACUUUCCCAGUGAAGGGUCCAAUCACACACCUGCUCAUCAUUUCUCCGAAUUCAAGUUCAAAAACUAUGCUCCUAUUGCCUUUCGGUACUUCAGAGACCUAUUUGGCAUUCAACCUGACGACUUUUUGAUGUCAAUGUGCAGCUCCCCACUCAGGGAGUUGUCUAAUCCUGGCGCAAGUGGUAGCAUAUUUUAUCUGACAGAAGAUGAUGAGUUUAUCAUCAAAACUGUUCAACACAAAGAAGGGGAAUUUUUGCAGAAGCUGCUACCUGGAUAUUACAUGAAUUUGAACCAGAAUCCUCGAACGUUACUUCCAAAAUUUUUUGGGCUGUAUUGUUACCAGUGCAAUAGUAAAAAUGUCAGAUUAAUCGCAAUGAAUAAUCUGCUUCCGUCGGCCGUCAAGCUACAUCAGAAAUACGAUUUGAAAGGUUCCACUUAUAAAAGAAAAGCUUCCAAAUCCGAAAGAUCCAAGUCAUCUCCUACGUAUAAAGAUUUGGAUUUUAUGGAGCAUCACACCGAAGGUAUUUUCUUGGAAGCUGAUACUUAUGGGGCACUUGUUAAAACGAUACAGCGAGACUGUAGAGUAUUGGAGAGCUUUAAAAUUAUGGACUAUUCUCUCCUAGUUGGAAUUCAUAACUUGGAUCAAGCGGCUAGGGAAAAAGCAGAACAGAGGUUAUCGGCAAGUGCGGAUGAAGAAACCGGCGGAGCAAGUUCUGAGGCCGGUGCCCUUAUUCAAGCGGAAAAGGAGAGGGAAAGAGAAGACAGGAUUGGCGCGGCUGCGUUGAAUCGAUCUCGAAGUAUUAACAGGCAAAGAUUAGUAGCGCACAGUACUGCGAUGGAAAGUAUUCAGGCCGAGAGCGAACCUAUCGAUGAAGAAGAUGAUGUACCCAGUCCGGGUGGUAUACCAGCUAGAAAUGCAAGAGGCGAACGUCUCCUACUUUUUCUCGGCAUCAUCGACAUACUUCAGAGUUACAGACUGAAGAAAAAGCUUGAGCACACAUGGAAGUCCAUGAUUCAUGACGGGGAUACAGUUUCCGUGCAUAGACCUGGUUUCUACGCUCAGCGCUUUCAAGAUUUCAUGGCAAAAACUGUUUUCAAGAAGAUUCCGUCACUGGACCUGCCUGAGAUUAAGGGAAACCAUCGCAAGUUCCGUAACCUGGUCACCAGCUACAUAGCUCUGAAACAUUCCCCUUCGAAACGGAAAAGUAUUACGAGGCCACUGAGACCGUUGGAAGGAGACUUUGAUUCCACAGCAGCGUCUGGAAGUUCAGCAGUGCAUGCUUCAACGAACUCCAAGCCUGCAAGCCCCACCGAGUUGCCUGCCUCAUCCAUAGUCAUAUCUGCUGCACCCACAAUAUCCACAACGUCCAUUCCAAACGCGACAUCAACUCCGAUAAACUUGCCCACUGUUUGCAAACCCGUUACGCCUCCGUCUCUGCUCUUUGGCACGGCAGAUGAAACCAACCACCAUGAUAUAACAAGCUUUGGUACGUCAAGUUACCCAGCUGUUUUGAAGGGCAGACGCGGAGCCAGCCCUCCUAAUCCGAAUCUCGUUCCUUCCGGCAAAAUCCCUCCACCGGUACCUCCUAGGGGAUCUGUUUCGGGGAGAAGUCGAGUCGACGAUCAUCGGAGAACGUCGGCGAAUAACGCGACCAUCUCCAGUCGAGGUGGUACCCUUCCCUCUACAUGCUCCACCCCACCUCCGCCAUUUGACGACGCUGUUACAUCGAACGACGCAACAUUAGCAUCGGGGGGUCACCAUUCCCAUCACGGAACAACGACGAUCCUCACUAGCAGCUUGAGUUCGUCGCAUACGAAGCAAAACAAAAUAGUGCAUCACGUUACUUUAACCAAAACCUAUCACGAUGCUGUUAGUAUAUCUGACGUGCAUUUAGAAAGCAGUGGUAGUGGCUGCGGCAGCGUCGGGCGUGAAACAAAGUCGUCCUUAAGCGUAGAAAGCGGGGGUAGCAGUCGUGGCGGUGGUGCGUUGACGUGGACACCACCUACCGGCAGUGUCGAAGGUUCUACUCCUACAUGGACUGAGGGGACGCCAUCCUUUACAGAGAGUUCGAGUAGCGGAGACAUGGGCUGUCCCACAACACCGAUUAGAAGUGGUAUGAGAGGGGAAGAGGAUAAUCGAAUUGUCGCUACAGUCGAGGAGGCAUUAGCUAGUUUGACAUCCGAAAUGUAAAUAAUAAUACGCACAGACGAUGUUCGAAACUACAUGCCUGGAAUGUGAAUACUGUUAAUAAUUGCCGGCCGGAUAAUGUGUCCCAAGUGUCUGGAUGUCGUCGCCAAUAGAUUUAUAGAAAGACGCACCUCUAACACGAAGAAGGAAACAAAAAUCUGAGAGAAGAAUUGCUAUGAAGAUGCGUUCAGAAAUCUCCAAUAGAAUAUAUAUACAUAAAAAUCUAAACAGCUAAACCAAACUGUUUUUGUAACUCUGUAAGUUUUAAUAGUAAGAUGUAAUGUACAGAUUUGCGCAAAGUACUUCCAAGUACGGAUAAUCAUGUGGUCUGUUUCCAUUAGAACAAGUAUCAAGUAUUUCUUAUUCUUAUUGUAAAUUUCAUUUUAAACUAUAUUCUUAUAGUUUUUUCUAUUUCGACUUGAUAUUAAUGCUAUACACAACUGGCACAUCACAACCACUGUAGUCUUCCAUUUUCUUUCAUAACCGUUGUAUAUUUAUAUAUAUUUAACCCCGACUCAACGGUAAUGGCCACUUUAUUAACCUGAAAAACGGGACGAAUGUAGCAUAGGUAUAAUUCUCUCAUCAUUUUUUCGCUCAAACUUACUUUCUCCCGCAUUUGCGAGGGAAAAGUUAUUAUUUCCCGCUCAUUUCUGGGAAAACAGCAGCACUUUUCUCCCGCUAAUGGGGUAACUACUUUUCAAGUCAACAAUUCUCAGUCAAAUUAUUCCCUUGUUACAUAAUGUACUGAUAUAUGUAUGUCGUGAAACAUGAAGUAUCAUUUGGACGAGGUAUGCAUUUGUUAUUGGCUGGUAUCGCGCUUGUAUCCAGAAAUUGCAUAUGUUGUGAAGUUUGUUGAUAUUAUCAUUACACUCCCAUUUGGACUUCAAUAGGUACAAAAUUACUUGUUUGAAAUAUUUGAGAGUCAAUCAUAUAUUAUUAUGUUAAAAUUAAAUCCAUUUAAUUCACAUGUUAGAAAAGUUGAUGCGUCACAGAUAACGUUUCACUGGAAGUUGUAGAAUGUACUAAUUUUGUGUUAUUAUUUCUUAUUUCCCAAUAUUUUUCAUCUUUGGAACAUAUGAUUGUCUACACUUGGUAAUCACUCACAAUCUUGAAGUCGCAAUUAAAAUCAUUCAUUUGAAUGCAUUGAACUAUUUGUGAUGCAUUAUUUCUACGAAAUGUAGUCACAAAAUGGUUCGAAAAAUGAAUCCAGUUGCACGUCUUAUGAAUCACGGUGGAAUCCCGCGGUUAAAGGGCUUAGAUAUACACAUGCAUUACGUGGUAUGGAAAUAGCAUAUUAAUUGGUAUGUCCACCGAAAUAAAACGUGGCUAAUGCAAUGGAUACGAAUGGAACGAACAUGUGAUAUAAUAUAUAGGAAAAAUUAUACAGCAUUAUUGUUGAUGUGCUUUUUCUGGGUGUCCAAUUGAGAUUGUCCAUCAGUUUAUCAGUAUCAAUUUCAAUAUAACGAAAAAAUAUUCAAAGCAAUAACGAUCCUUUGAAUCGCAAAUCUCCCCGAUAUUCAGCUAUAGAACGAAACAUACAAAAUUACCAAGGGCGGUAUAGGGAACAUUUGAUGCCAUCGAAACUCACAUGCCGACGAUAGUAGCGUAACAUGUAGCGUACGAGACUGAGGAAGGGGGGGACUAGAGUUGAAAUGCCCAGCGUAUCGAUGCGGACCUGAGCGACGACUCGCAAAAAUUGUAAAAAAGUGUCACAUUGCUCAAGCACGUAAUCGGCAAGCUGAGGUUUGAAACAAGUCCGGCUAUACUUGAACAAGAUUUUCUGCAGUUUUCCUUGUCCCUUGUGUGAAUGCGGGUGUUUAUAGUAAAUAUCUUGAGACGGCUGCAGACUAAUCUGUAAUGGUACUAAUCCACCCCUCCCUUACCCUGCACAAGCUGUCAGCUUAUGGGGACAUACCCGAAAGAGUAUAGCGGGACUGUAGUGAUUGUUACUAUUAUUACUAUUACUAUUAUUGCAAGUAUUAUUAUUAUUAUUAUUAUUAUUACCAUAAUCAUCAUUAUUAUUGUUAUUGUUGUUGUUGUUGUUCUUGUUAUUGUUAUUAUCUGUUACAAUUGUAAUAGUAUGUACUUAGUCGUUGUGAAUUGCUUUGAUCUUAAGUUGAACAAAGAGAAAGGGACCAUUGUUGUACCAAUCGAUGCCUGAGCCAGUCAGAUGGUGAGGUAAUGUGACUGAAUACACUUGCAUACCAGAGCCAAUGAAUAGGCCAUCAAGAUGCUGGCUGAGUGGCCCAAGUUGCUAAUAUCGAGGAUGAUAACAAUCAGGUUUUGCUAUAUUUACACUAUUCACCAAAAGAUUGAAUCGAACUGGUAAUAUUAUCGCAGUUUCUAUAACUGAGGUCACUCAACUAAGGCACAUUCUUGUUUCCCAUGUGUUUAUACACAUCACUGUACAACAGUGGAAUGGUGUUUGCGAACAUUCCAACACCGAAAGUACCCCGCUAGUCAGGACAUACUAAUCAUCAACUUGCUCCAAUUGUACUUAAGGUUUCUUAAGUAAAAAUUUGGUUCAUGGUAUAAAAAAGUCAUUGUUAGAUAGUAUUAUUGUUUAUUUGUAAAAUCAAAUAUUCAAGUAAUAGCUUGAUACCGCAAUCAUUCGUUUUCGAGUGAAUUGGCUAUAUUACGUAGUAUUAAUUAUAGAAUCUAAUUAGAUAUUUGAAAGGAUAGUCGAUAUGGAAGUAAUAAACACAUUCCAAGAGUAUUCUAACCAUUCUUCAUACAAAGACGUAACAUAUAGAUUUAUAUAAAAUAUGUAGAACUGUAUAAAUGUGCGCCUAUGCCGGGCAUGUAUGUACAUGCCACACGAUCUUAUAUGAUCGUUAUGCAUAGGGGUCUUGACAUAUAUCUGGCUAGCAUUGGAGGGGGGGAUCGGCUUUUUUCAGGUCAUGGUCCUACAGAUAUACAGACACGAAUGUAGGAAAAUCAUCAUAUCAUCAUCACACAUCAUAUAUCAUACAUCAUACAUAGUAUUAAAGAUCCAAAUAAAAAUUUCGGAUUUUCGGAAGUUCAGAAAUUA